rnacentral:rRNA from 1 species
GUGGGGAAUUUUGCGCAAUGGGGGAAACCCUGACGCAGCAACGCCGCGUGAGUGAUGAAGGCCUUCGGGUUGUAAAGCUCUUUUAGUGGGAAAGAAGCCCUCCGGGACUAAUACUCCCGGGGUCUGACGGUACCCACAGAAAAAGUUCCGGCUAACUACGUGCCAGCAGCCGCGGUAAUACGUAGGGAGCAAGCGUUGUUCGGAAUUAUUGGGCGUAAAGAGCGCGUAGGCGGUUCGGUAAGUCUGAUGUGAAAUCCCGGAGCUUAACUCCGGAACUGCAUUGGAAACUGCCGAGCUGGAGUGCGGGAGAGGAGAGUGGAAUUCCCAGUGUAGAGGUGAAAUUCGUAGAUAUUGGGAGGAACACCCGUGGCGAAGGCGGCUCUCUGGACCGCAACUGACGCUGAGGCGCGAAAGCUAGGGGAGCAAACGGGAUUAGAUACCCGAGUAGUCC